GCGCCUUCUCCUUGGGCUGAAGUGGCCGGGCCACAAGAAGCGAACCAAGGCAGCGGCGGGCGCUACCACCGUUCCUGGAAAGGAGACCAAGGACGGUGUAGGGAAUGGUUUUCACUGAGGGUGCUGUGGAGGGCUUGGGCGGAACCGGCGUUCAUGCUUCGUGCUACAACCCAUGCUCUAGAUUAGCAGAUUGCCGGCUCCUGUCACGAUUAAGAAACGCGAGUGUGCCACGAAGCAGUCAAUGUGCAGAGAAAACUACAUCUUCGUGUCACCCGUGGCUCCACAGCAGCCAGUCACAUGAGCUUCGUGGCGGCUCCACGAUCAUGUGGAGCACGACAUCGACAUGACAACCAGCCCGAUGACCACUGGUGCGGGAACUCCGGUGUUGGAGUGAGCUAAUUCAUCUUCUCGAGCUCGCAGAUGGCUGCCUUUGAAAGCUGCAGGUCCAUUCUUCUCCAAUCUGGUCUGCGAGUCCGUUCCUCCGGCAUGACUGUUUUGUAGGCUUUCCUUAAUUUUGCAGAUGCUUCACAACUCAGUAUUUGAAGAGCUUGAUAAUUGCAAGCAUUUUCUCUCGCAUAUUGCAAAGUAUUAGUGAUGUUCUACAUAGAGGGCUGCAGAGUAUGAUUGGGAUUGCUGUUGGAAAUCACAAAUAUCAGUUAACUAUCUCUUGCUACAAGUUCAUGAUAUUGAUAAAGGCUUCAGGCUUUUGACAUUUUAAUUCUUCUGUUGCAUUGUGAUAUCCCUUCAAAGAAACAAUUUAGGAGAUUUUUUUUGGUUUCGUAACAUUAUAUUCUUUGGCACUACUUUUAUGUGAUCUGGUGGUCUUCCUAAAUCUAAUAAAGAAUUAGAAGUUGAUAACCUAGCAAAUUGGGUCCUGUAUGUUCAAUGCAUCUUUUUUCCCCACUAUCUCCCUUUUGUACUAUUCAUUUGUUUUCUUGCUUUAUGUUGACAGGUGAAUUGACCUAUUCGAAUCAGUAAUUGUGUAUUGCGAAAUAAUAUGAUGCCUACUUUAUUCAGAUUCCCCCCCUGAAUCAUUCAUACAUCCACCAUUAUUUACUGAAUACCCCCAUAUACGUGCAGAUUGCAGUAGAUUAUGCACCUUCACCAUCCUCUGCUUUGUUGUUUUCUCUAUUUUAGUUCCUUUUUCUCUACAUUUUCCACUAGAAAUUGAAUCCUUUUGGGAAUUUUGUCGUUCUUUUUAGUCCUUGGUAUGCCACUCAAAUCUACACUGGAUAUUUUCAAUCACAUGUAGGACAGAAGAAAGACAUGAAACUUUUGCUGGUCAAAGACGCAUCGCCUCGAUCUUAUUAACGAAGGUCCUUGUGCAUGUUUCAUAUAUCUGGGAAUGCAGAGAUCAGCAAACACACAACAAAACAUAUAUGAGCUAGAUUUCAUCGUUGUAGACCAUGAGAGAAAAAGACUGACUACUGAGUAAAUGACAACAAGCUGCGAAAAUAAAGGGAUGUAUGAGAUAAAUUCUUUGCUGAAUGAAAUGACCCAAGUGCGCGCUAUUUAAGAACAGGGCAUUCCAUUAUGGGAUAAUUGGAAGAGAUACUGUUCAUUGCAUAGAUCAGAUGAUGUACGGAGUGGCAACAAGAUUGUUAUGUUUGGAAACAUAUUUUUGGGAUUAACAAUUUUCCUUACAAUAGAAAGGGACGCUUCUCCAAAGUGUCUACAUAUAAGUGAUUUAUUGCAAGCAUGAUUAUUAUAUACUUGCGUCAAACUGCAGGUUUAAUAAGAGAUUGGAGGAAAGUUAGCCAAAUCAAAGAUCAGGGAAUGUUUAUGAUGAUGUGCAUAUAUUGGUCCAUUUUUUUCUUAUGUCUCAGACUGGGAGGUAGAAAAUAUGUAUUUUAUCAAUAUAAUAUUGAUGUUCAGUAUGCUCGCAUGUUUAGUGACCUAGGACUUUCCAUUUCAUACAUUAAUUGUUGUUUUACAUAAAACUGACAUUUUAUCAUGAAAUGUGAUUUAGUCCAUAGAAACUUUGCUGACUUGCGUUUCUUCAUAUUUCAGUCUUUAUAUUGAAGCAAUUGAAAUACUUGCGUACAUUGUUUUAGUCAAAGAAUUUCCUUUUACGCAUGUUGGACUGGAGUAUAUAUGUUUUACUAUGGUGGUGGAUUUAGUGCAUUUCGAUUUGCUAAUUAAAAGCCACGUAUUCGUUUUACCUCUCUGUAUCCUUGCUUGCAUUAUUCCUGUUUUAACAUCUGAGUCAAUGCUUAAUGGGCAGACCUAUGCCUGUGAUUGCAUUUUACUUGAGAGCUUCGAUUUCCAGAUCAAAAUAUAGAUUUUACUGUACCAUCUAGGGUUUUUGUUCCUUCCCCAUGUAAAGAUAGAUCCUUGCAAAGACUUGGGCAUCAGGUACUACCUCCAUUGCUAUUUUGAAUUUUUGAUAAAAUAAUCAUGGAUGCUAAUAUAGUUGUCCUCAACAUAAGGCUUGCAUUACUGGUCAUAUUUGUAAAUUUCAUGUUUUUUACUUCAUUGAGACACUGGUUCAAUUUGUUAUUUCGUGAUAGCAAUGGAUAAUCUGAAGUUUCGUGAUUUUUUGUUAAUUUCCUCUUCCAAAUGCAUUUCUGCAAACAACAUCACAGGAUAGUUGCCCUCAUCUUUUUGUAGGUUGAGAAAUAUGAAAGGUUUGUAAGUCUUUUUCACGUUUGGUUAGUCUGUUUAUUCUUGUAGUGAUAUGUCUUGAUUUUGAUGAAUGGAUAAUUUUGGGGCCUCCAGUUAUGUGCGUCAUGCACGUGUUAAUAUGAUACAAUCAGCUAGGUGUGAAUAGCAAGUGCAUAUGUUUUGCUGUCAAGUUUGUUCUACUCUGUCAUUAUAGUUAUGCAUUAUGUCAGGUGUUUUCCCUCGGGUUCUGAACCUGUCAAACUAAUGGAAUCAUGUUCUACAACCAACAUUUUUUUGAACAUCAAGAGGAAGGAGAGUUAAUUGAGCUUCUCGCUUAUAGUUUGAAGAGAUCAAUGCUCGGACUUCAGGAGGGAGAGUAAGGGGCCUGCUUGCAUUGUUGGGGCCUCCUAUCAAUGUUGGAGAUCUACAUUCUUUUCCCUAAGUUACAUUGAGUUGAAAACGGGAGGAUAUUUCUGAAUCGAUACUACGUAAACAUGAGCCAUAUAUGCCUGUAAAGAAGACAUGGUAGGGAGUAUUUGCAUCUCGAAGUAGUAUUUUGUUUUCUUGCUCAAACUUGCAAUGAGA